UACGUAGGGGGCAAGCGUUGUCCGGAUUUAUUGGGCGUAAAGAGCGUGUAGGCGGCUUGGUAGGUCCGCUGUGAAAACUCGAGGCUCAACCUCGAGACGCCGGUGGAAACCAUCAGGCUAAGACGUCGAAGAGGAGAGUGGAAUUCCUGGUGUAGCGGUGAAAUGCGCAGAUAUCAGGAAGAACACCCGUGGCUAAGGCGGCUCUCUAGUACGGUACUGACGCUGAGACGCGAAAGCGUGGGGAGCGAACAGG
rnacentral:rRNA from 1 species